UCCCUGGUGGUCAGGUGGCUAAGACUUCGCACUCCCAAUGCAAGGGGCCUGGGUUCAAUCCUUGGUCAGAGAA
rnacentral:tRNA from 1 species